AUGACCGACUACGCCUUGGUGCGCUCUCGCAGCGCACUUGUCCGUUCUCGAUCGGUUGAACCGAGCUCUCGUCUUUACGUCACCCGCACUUCAUCAGUCCCAGACUUGACCGCUCACUUCCGUUACUCGGAUAAGUACCGUCCACAAUGGCAUACUGUCUACCAAUCGACUCCAUACCGCUGGCGUCGUGACUGGGAUUUGUACGAUGACUACUGGUAUGACAAAUACUAUUACUUCUCUCCACUUUAUCGCAGUACCUACUAUCCAAGCAGAAGAUAUUCCUACAGUGAUUAUCUUCCAAAUCCAUAUUAUUGGAACAACUAUGGAUCUUAUUGGACUCGCUACAAGGGAUAUUGGUAUGACUAUGACUAUCCAUCCUCUUACCGUCGAUACACUGAUUCUGCUUUCAACCGCUACUUGAACUACACCUACACCCCGUAUAGAUCGUACUUGAUGGACUCAUUGAGCACUUCCCUUUCUCGUGGCCUUUCCAUGUACAAGAACAAUUUGGCAGUUUACGGUACUACUAAUCCUUUUUCGCCGCUCUAUCUCUACACUAGAUAUUAAUGUCUAAUCAAUCACACUACUCUUGAUGCUUACUGGUUAACACCAAAGUACUGGGAUCGUCGUUUUAAAAACUGGCGUGAGCUUUAUUGCUCCACCAAGGACAAUUAUCUUCCAUCAACGUACGAUAGAAAAACCCGUCAGUACUUUGCACAGUGGGCUUAA
rnacentral:misc_RNA from 1 species